UACAGAGGUCUCGAGCGUUGUUCGGAAUUACUGGGCGUAAAGCGCACGUAGGCGGCUUUGCAAGUUAGAGGUGAAAGCCCGGGGCUCAACCCCGGAAUUGCCUUUAAAACUGCAUCGCUAGAAUUGUGGAGAGGUAAGUGGAAUUCCGAGUGUAGAGGUGAAAUUCGUAGAUAUUCGGAAGAACACCAGUGGCGAAGGCGACUUACUGGACACAUAUUGACGCUGAGGUGCGAAAGCGUGGGGAGCAAACAGG
rnacentral:rRNA from 1 species